GGGUGCGAUCAUACGAGCACUAAUGCUCCGGAUCCCGUCAGAACUCAAUGUUUAAGCGUGCUUGGGCGAGAGUAGUACUAGGAUGGGUGACCUCUUGGGAAGUCCUCGUGUUGCACCCC